GGGGGAUUAGCUCAAAUGGUAGAGCGCUCGCUUAGCAUGUGAGAGGUAGCGGGAUCGAUACCCGUAUCCUCCA
rnacentral:tRNA from 1 species